AUUGAACGCUGGCGGCAGGCCUAACACAUGCAAGUCGAGCGGAUGAAGGGAGCUUGCUCCUGGAUUCAGCGGCGGACGGGUGAGUAAUGCCUAGGAAUCUGCCUGGUAGUGGGGGAUAACGUCCGGAAACGGGCGCUAAUACCGCAUACGUCCUGAGGGAGAAAGUGGGGGAUCUUCGGACCUCACGCUAUCAGAUGAGCCUAGGUCGGAUUAGCUAGUUGGUGGGGUAAAGGCCUACCAAGGCGACGAUCCGUAACUGGUCUGAGAGGAUGAUCAGUCACACUGGAACUGAGACACGGUCCAGACUCCUACGGGAGGCAGCAGUGGGGAAUAUUGGACAAUGGGUGAAAGCCUGAUCCAGCCAUGCCGCGUGUGUGAAGAAGGUCUUCGGAUUGUAAAGCACUUUAAGUUGGGAGGAAGGGCAGUAAGUUAAUACCUUGCUGUUUUGACGUUACCAACAGAAUAAGCACCGGCUAACUUCGAG
rnacentral:rRNA from 1 species